rnacentral:tRNA from 1 species
GCCCGUGUAGCUCAGUUGGCAGAGUAACCCCAAUCGCCGAGGUAGUCAUAUAACAAUGCCUCAUAGGAUUGAAAACGGGGUAGGUCGCAGGUUCAAGUCCUGCCGCGGGCG